rnacentral:rRNA from 1 species
CAAGUCGAACGCGAAAGGGGCUUCGGCCCUGAGUAGAGUGGCGAACGGGUGAGUAACACGUGGGUGAUCUACCUCUGAGUGGGGGAUAACGUUCCGAAAGGAGCGCUAAUACCGCAUGACGUCCUGGGUUUGAAGACCUGGAAACCAAAGUCGGGGACCGCAAGGCCUGACGCUGAGAGAGGAGCCCGCGCCUGAUUAGCUAGUUGGUGGGGUAAUGGCUCACCAAGGCGACGAUCAGUAGCCGGCCUGAGAGGGCGGACGGCCACACUGGGACUGAGACGCGGCCCAGACUCCUACGGGAGGCAGCAGUGGGGAAUUGUUCGCAAUGGGCGCAAGCCUGACGACGCAACGCCGCGUGGAGGAUGAAGGUCUUCGGAUUGUAAACUCCUGUUGACCGGGAAGAAUGGAUUCCGACCUAACACGUCGGAGUAAUGACGGUACCGGUUGAGGAAGCCACGGCUAACUCUGUGCCAGCAGCCGCGGUAAUACAGAGGUGGCAAGCGUUGUUCGGAAUUACUGGGCGUAAAGGGCGCGUAGGCGGCCGCCUAAGUCAGACGUGAAAUCCCCAAGCUUAACUUGGGAACUGCGUCUGAUACUGGGUGGCUUGAGUUCGGGAGAGGAAUGUGGAAUUCCAGGUGUAGCGGUGAAAUGCGUANAUAUCUGGAGGAACACCGGUGGCGAAGGCGGCACUCUGGACCGAAACUGACGCUGAGGCGCGAAAGCCAGGGGAGCAAACGGGAUUAGAUACCCCGGUAGUCCUGGCCCUAAACGAUGAGUGCUUGGUGUGGUGGGUAUCGAUCCCUGCC